GCACCUUUCCCUUCUAUGUCUGAUUUGGCUUCCCGGGUGCAGUGCCUGCUCUUUGCCGGGCUGCAGGCAAAGAGCGCUAAGGAAUGAAAGAGGUCACAGCUUCUACAGCCUCUGGGUGCGUGUUUAUUGUAAAACACGUCAUGGGCAUCAGCAGAGCCCUCGGACGUGAGGGCAGCAAGGCCGAGGGCAGCAGGCCUUGCCUGUGGCAGUGUUACACGGGAGCUGGACACCUGGAUACUCGGGUGAAGGAGUAAAGACUUCCAGGAAUGCCUAUGAAGACCAGUUGGGGAAAUGCAGCUCACAAGUCAGCCAAAUGUACCAUGCUAGGGGUGAAAUGAGGACUUGUUACGCACUGUUAGUAGCUGACUAAGCCUCAUCUUCUGGAAGAGGACCACUUGAAAGUACUCACCCAUACUUCUUGUGGAAAUAAUGCUUACUGCAUUGUGGCUCUGAAUCUGAGGAAACCUGGGAACAUGUUUAUACAUAGCAGAAGCCUAGCAGUCUGAGGCAGAUAAAAAAUAAGGAUGGACAAUAUGUUGGAAAGACAUUUACAUAAACAGUGAACAGUAGUGAACAGCAAAAACCAGUCCAAAGAUUCAGUGAGGAACUGCUUGUUUCAAAGACUCAGGGACUGUCAAGCAACAACAACCAAAAAGUACAUUCUAUCCAG